rnacentral:tRNA from 1 species
UGCCCCCUCGUUCAAUGGUAGGACAGCCGCCUCUGGAGCGGCAUAUCGGGGUUCGACUCCCUGGGGGGCAGCCA